rnacentral:rRNA from 4 species
AAUCCAUAGGUUAAUGAGGCGAACCGGGGGAACUGAAACAUCUAAGUACCCCGAGGAAAAGAAAUCAACCGAGAUUCCCCCAGUAGCGGCGAGCGAACGGGGAGGAGCCCAGAGCCUGAAUCAGCAUGUGUGUUAGUGGAAGCGUCUGGAAAGGCGCGCGAUACAGGGUGACAGCCCCGUACACAAAAGCGCAUGUGCUGUGAGCUCGAUGAGUAGGGCGGGACACGUGGUAUCCUGUCUGAAUAUGGGGGGACCAUCCUCCAAGGCUAAAUACUCCUGACUGACCGAUAGUGAACCAGUACCGUGAGGGAAAGGCGAAAAGAACCCCGGCGAGGGGAGUGAAAAAGAACCUGAAACCGUGUACGUACAAGCAGUGGGAGCACCCUUUGGGUGUGACUGCGUACCUUUUGUAUAAUGGGUCAGCGACUUAUAUUCUGUAGCAAGGUUAACCGAAUAGGGGAGCCGGAGGGAAACCGAGUCUUAACCGGGCGUUAAGUUGCAGGGUAUAGACCCGAAACCCGGUGAUCUAGCCAUGGGCAGGUUGAAGGUUGGGUAACACUAACUGGAGGACCGAACCGACUAAUGUUGAAAAAUUAGCGGAUGACCUGUGGCUGGGGGUGAAAGGCCAAUCAAACCGGGAGAUAGCUGGUUCUCCCCGAAAGCUAUUUAGGUAGCGCCUCGUGAAUUCAUCUCCGGGGGUAGAGCACUGUUUCGGCUAGGGGGCCAUCCCGGCUUACCAACCCGAUGCAAACUGCGAAUACCGGAGAAUGUUAUCACGGGAGACACACGGCGGGUGCUAACGUCCGUCGUGAAGAGGGAAACAACCCAGACCGCCAGCUAAGGUCCCAAAGUCAUGGUUAAGUGGGAAACGAUGUGGGAAGGCCCAGACAGCCAGGAUGUUGGCUUAGAAGCAGCCAUCAUUUAAAGAAAGCGUAAUAGCUCACUGGUCGAGUCGGCCUGCGCGGAAGAUGUAACGGGGCUAAACCAUGCACCGAAGCUGCGGCAGCGACACUGUGUGUUGUUGGGUAGGGGAGCGUUCUGUAAGCCUGUGAAGGUGUGUCGUGAGGCAUGCUGGAGGUAUCAGAAGUGCGAAUGCUGACAUAAGUAACGAUAAAGCGGGUGAAAAGCCCGCUCGCCGGAAGACCAAGGGUUCCUGUCCAACGUUAAUCGGGGCAGGGUGAGUCGACCCCUAAGGCGAGGCCGAAAGGCGUAGUCGAUGGGAAACGGGUUAAUAUUCCCGUACUUGGUGUUACUGCGAAGGGGGGACGGAGAAGGCUAUGUUGGCCGGG